GUGAAGCGGCAACAGCUCAAAUUUGAAAUCUGGCGCCCCUGGGCGUCCGAGUUGUAAUUUGCAGAGGAUGCUUCGGGAUCGGCGCUGCCCCAGGUUCUUUGGAACAGGACGCCAUAGAGGGUGAGAGCCCCGUCUCUGGGCGGCAGCCGAAACCGUGUGAAGCGCCUUCGACGAGUCGAGUUGUUUGGGAAUGCAGCUCAAAACGGGAGGUAAAUUUCUUCCAAGGCUAAAUACAGGCCGGAGACCGAUAGCGCACAAGUAGAGUGAUCGAAAGAUGAAAAGUACUUUGGAAAGAGAGUCAAACAGCGCGUGAAAUUGUUGAAAGGGAAGCGCUUGCAGUCAGACUUGGCCGCCCGGUUCGGCGGGGCCUCGCGCCCCGUCUCCGCCGUGGCGGUCAGGCCAGCAUUGGUUCGGGCGACCGGAGAAAGGCUGCGGGAAUGUGGCUCCUCUCGGGGAGUGUUAUAGCCCGCGGCAGAAUACGGCCAGCCCGGACCAAGGAACGCGCUUCAGCUCGGAUGCUGGCGUAAUGGCUGCAAGCGGCCCGUCUUGAAACACGGACCAAGGAGUCUAACAUCUGUGCGAGUGUUUGGGUGUCAAGCCCUUGCGCGCAAUGAAAGUGAACGGAGGUGGGAGCCCUCGGGCGCACCAUCGACCGAUCCUGAUGUCUUCGGAAGGAUUUGAGUAAGAGCACAGCUGUUGGGACCCGAAAGAUGGUGAACUAUGCCUAAGCAUGGUGAAGCCAGAGGAAACUCUGGUGGAGG
rnacentral:rRNA from 1 species